AGCGCAACUGACGCUCAUGCUCGAAAGUGCGGGUAUCGAACAGGAUUAGAUACCCUGGUAGUCCGCACGGUAAACGAUGGAUGCCCGCUAUUUGUCCAUUAGGAUAAGUGGCCAAGUGAAAACGUUAAGCAUCCCACCUGGGGAGUACGCCGGCAACGGUGAAACUCAAAGGAAUUGACGGGGGCCCGCACAAGCGGAGGAACAUGUGGUUUAAUUCGAUGAUACGCGAGGAACCUUACCCGGGCUUGAAUUGUGAGAGAAGGAUCCAGAGAUGGUGACGCCCUUCGGGGCUCUCAUGAAGGUGCUGCAUGGUUGCCGUCAGCUCGUGCCGUGAGGUGUCGGCUUAAGUGCCAUAACGAGCGCAACCCCUCUCUUCAGUUGCCAUCAGGUUAAGCUGGGCACUCUGGAGACACUGCCACCGUAAGGUGUGAGGAAGGUGGGGAUGACGUCAAAUCAGCACGGCCCUUACGUCCGGGGCUACACACGUGUUACAAUGGGUGGUACAGAGAGUUGGGUGCCCGCAAGGUCACUCUAAUCAAUAAAUCCAUCCUCAGUUCGGACUGGGGUCUGCAACCCGACCCCACGAAGCUGGAUUCGCUAG
rnacentral:rRNA from 1 species